rnacentral:rRNA from 1 species
CAGCAGCCGCGGGAAUACGUAGGGUGCAAGCGUUAAUCGGAAUUACUGGGCGUAAAGCGCGCGCAGGCGGUUAUAUAAGUCAGAUGUGAAAUCCCCGGGCUCAACCUGGGAACUGCAUUUGAGACUGUAUGGCUAGAGUGUGUCAGAGGGGGGUAGAACUCCACGUGUAGCAGUGAAAUGCGUAGAUAUGUGGAGGAAUACCGAUGGCGAAGGCAGCCCCCUGGGAUAACACUGACGCUCAUGCACGAAAGCGUGGGGAGCAAACAGGAUUAGAUACCCCCGUAGUCCCUGUCUCUUAUAC